rnacentral:rRNA from 1 species
AUGUGUGGUCACCAAGAGGAGUCACUUCAUCACUCUCUUGUUAUGUGUGACCACGCAAAACUGUUCUGGAGGGAAGCCGAGAGUUUUUUCAACUUCAAGCUGCCCCGGCUACACCCAGUCACUUGGUCGAGGGAUCUUAUGGUUCCGGGGUUUAUCAGCAAGGACCGAGCGACCAUCAUUAUCUCAGUUAUGUGGGUAAUAUGGUCGAGUAGGAACAAGUAUACCCAUGAGGAGGUCAAGUACCAGCCUGGUUGGUCGAUGGUUCUGGUACAAGAGCUCAUUCAUGCUUUGUAUAUUCCGGCUGCAACUUCAGAAGUGCAACAAAGUAGAACUGCGAACUGGACACCGCUAGAUCUUGGCUGGGUAAAAAUCAACACAAACGCUGAUGUUGAUGCGAAUGGUGGAACAUCAUCCAUUGGGCUUGUUGCAAGAGAUCAUGGCGGACUUCUAGGGGUAAGAGAAGCUGUAGCGACCAUGAUCCCAAUGGACCGAAGUCUCUGUGCUUAA